rnacentral:tRNA from 1 species
GAUUGUAGCUUAGUGGUAGAGUGCCUGCCUAGCAAGUGUGAGGCACUGGGUUCGAUCCUCAGUACAACA